rnacentral:rRNA from 1 species
UACGGGGGGAGCAAGCGUUGUUCGGAUUUACUGGGCGUAAAGGGCGCGUAGGCGGCCACCGCAAGUCGAACUGUGAAAUCUCCGGGCUUAACCCGGAAAGGUCAGCCGAUACUGCGGGGCUAGAGUGCAGAAGGGGCAACUGGGAAUUCUCGGUGUAGCGGUGAAAAUGCGUAGAUAUCGAGAGGAACACCUGCGGCGAAGGCGGGUUGCUGGGCUGACACUGACGCUGGAGGCGCGAAAGCCAGGGGAGCAAACGGG